rnacentral:rRNA from 1 species
AUACGGAGGGUGCAAGCGUUAUCCGGAUUCAUUGGGUUUAAAGGGUUCGCAGGCGGCGUAUUAAGUCAGUGGUGAAAUCCCGAGGCUCAACCUCGGAACUGCCAUUGAUACUGGUAUGCUAGAGUAUAGUUGGUGUUGGCGGAAUGUAUCAUGUAGCGGUGAAAUGCUUAGAUAUGAUACAGAACACCGAUCGCGAAGGCAGCUAACGAAACUAUAACUGACGCUCAGGAACGAAAGCGUGGGGAGCGAACAGGAUUAGAAACCCGUGUAGUCC